GAUGAACGCUGGCGGCGUGCCUAACACAUGCAAGUCGAGCGAUUCUCUUCGGAGAAGAGCGGCGGACGGGUGAGUAACGCGUGGGUAACCUGCCCUGUACACACGGAUAACAUACCGAAAGGUAUGCUAAUACGAGAUAAUAUGCUUUUAUCGCAUGGUAGAAGUAUCAAAGCUCCGGCGGUACAGGAUGGACCCGCGUCUGAUUAGCUAGUGGGUAAGGUACGGCUUACCAAGGCGACGAUCAGUAGCCGACCUGAGAGGGUGAUCGGCCACAUUGGAACUGAGACACGGUCCAAACUCCUACGGGAGGCAGCAGUGGGGAAUAUUGCACAAUGGGCGAAAGCCUGAUGCAGCAACGCCGCGUGAGCGAUGAAGGCCUUCGGGUCGUAAAGCUCUGUCCUCAAGGAAGAUAAUGACGGUACUUGAGGAGGAAGCCCCGGCUAACUACGUGCCAGCCGCCGCAGUAAGAC
rnacentral:rRNA from 1 species